rnacentral:lncRNA from 1 species
UAUUUUCAAAGAUGAUAUAAAUGUCAAAUGAUAGAAAUAUAAAAUUAAGUCCAAUGGAGGAUCCAGGGGGUCUGGUGGUUAGAACCUCCAUUUUUGGACGAUCAAUACAUUUGAAUGGGGACAUAUGGUUGGAAACCUCCCCCUUUUAUCCUUGGUUGGGAUCCUGUCCCUUUUAUUAAAAUGGCUGGAUCCACCCCUGAAGUCAAAUUACAAGACAGUUUUAGUUUGAACGUACUAUUAGAAAUUGAAUAUAUGAAAUUCGUUUUGUUAACACACCAAAUAUUUUUUUUCAAUUUCGAGAUCUUAUUAAUAGGAAGAACUGAUCUGAACUAUCAGUUUUAUCAAUUUUAAACGAAUAUUUAAUGCAUGUCUAGAAUCUCCAG